AGCAGUCGCCACGGUAAUACGGAGGAUCCAAGCGUUAUCCGGAAUCAUUGGGUUUAAAGGGUCCGUAGGCGGUCUUGUAAGUCAGUGGUGAAAGCCCAUCGCUCAACGGUGGAACGGCCAUUGAUACUGCAGGACUUGAAUUAUUGGGAAGUAACUAGAAUAUGUAGUGUAGCGGUGAAAUGCUUAGAGAUUACAUGGAAUACCAAUUGCGAAGGCAGGUUACUACCAAUUGAUUGACGCUGAUGGACGAAAGCGUGGGUAGCGAACAGGAUUAGAUACCCGUGUAGUCCCUGUCUCUUAUAC
rnacentral:rRNA from 1 species